rnacentral:rRNA from 1 species
UCCUUUUGUUUUUAUUCAAGGUCUGACCUGCCCAAUGAUUUUUAAAUGGCCGCGGUAUUCUGACCGUGCAAAGGUAGCAUAAUCAUUUGUUUUUUAAUUGGAAACUAGUAUGAAUGGUCCUACGAAAGGUCAUCUUUCUUUAUUUUAUUAUAGUGAAUUUUAUUUUUGUGUGAGAAAGCAUAAAUGGUAUUAUUAGACGAUAAGACCCUAUAAAACUUUAUUUUCUUUUAGUUUCUUGUUUAUUAGUAGAUGCUGAUUUGGGGCUUUAAGAUAAUUUUACUGGGGCGGUAAGUAAAUUUAUUUAACUUUACUUUUAUUUUUCACUAAUUAGUGUUAGUUUUGAUCCAAUAUUUUUGAUUAAAAGAUCAAGUUACUUUA